AGGCAAGCGGCAGCUGCAUCCACGGCAGCCUUGAGGUCUGAGCUUGGCCCUCCAGCUAUGCCAUUUUUGCCUUGGCACCAACCGACCAUGGACUGAAUCCUCUGAAAACCACGAGCUGAAGAGAUCUCUCCUCUUAUUCUGCAGGCGGCAGAGAACAUGUGUUGAGUCAGUCAAGUAAGAAGAAAAGCCAGGAAGUCUUCACAGUGCUUUGGCCUGGGCUCUAAGUGAUGAGUGGAGGCGGCUGACUGGAGGAGCUGUGCAAAUAUUUGCUUCUGAGAGAUCUCAGCUGUCCUCCGCGGCUGCUCGGCUCUUCCCUGGUGCUCCGGGUGCCGGGAAAGGAAGGAGGCGCUUCUGCAGCUCUGAGUCUGACGUGUGAGUGUGUCAAAAACCUGCACCGAUGUGGCACAAUUCAUGGGACAGUCUAGCGUGUUUUCUGGGUAAUUCAGAAGAAAAUUCCCUUCUUUU